rnacentral:rRNA from 1 species
UUGAAAGGGAAACGAUUGAAGUCAGCCGUACCUGCGGGUAAUCAGCCUUUUGGGCAUGAUUCUGUGGAGCGUGAGGAGUUAAACGCCUUCAUGCCUGCAUAUUCGUGUACUUUGGGUGUACUUGCCUGUGUGGUUAGUUAACAUCAAUUUUGGUUAUCAUAAAAUGGCUGGAGGAAUGUAGCUUCGAUUUCGAUUGAAGUGUUAUAGACUUCGGCAGAUGUGAUGAUCGGGAUUGAGGAUUGCAACGGAUACCCUUCGGGGCUACCUGUCUGAUCUCUGAUCGUUGCUCUGGUGCCGAAAGCGUGCUUACGGUUAUCAAAGUCGAUGGUCAAUAGGUUAGAAUGGGUUAAAUUCGUUAAGGAUGUUGACGUA